CGGGUGUUGCUGCUUUGUAACCAAUAAAUGUGCUUGUGAAAAAAAAUUUAGUGCAGUUAAAAUGUUUAAAAUAUUGGUUCAAAGUUUGGCGAAAAACUCGUGUGAAAGCCGAGCACCGUCACAAAUUGCCGCCGUGACGUGUGUAAAAAAUUCAUUGAUUUUACCAGCGGCCAAGAAUCAUACAAUUGCCACGAGUACUAUAGCAAGUCGCCAUUUUCUUUUUCUAACCAACAGAAAACCAGUGAGCUUUGCUUUUCAUCAUCAAGAUCUAACGGCAGGCAGCAGAAAGGACGUAUUCGCGGAGUAUAAGCAGAUUAAGAAAACAUUCUUAACAAAUUCAAGUGGAAUAACUAACUCCGGUGGCUUCUACAGGUAUUUUCACAAGUCGAGCGAAAAUUUAGUAGAAGGGGAAGCGUCGCCUGCAGAAAAGCAAAAGUUUUCGUUAAAAUCCAGCAACAAACACUCGUUUACAAAUUCAUCUUUGUAUAUAGAUCCAGACGAAAUGGCACCUCAUGAUAGGAACUUUGGCGGUCGUGGUGCACGUGGUGGAGAUGAUCGUCAUGCCAGACAGGGAGGUGGUGGCAUGCGCAAUGGAGGCGCUGGCGGUGGUGGAGGUGAUUUCCACGGUGUGCGGAACGGUCGUGUUGACAAGAAUCGUGGAGGUGGUGGUGGCGGACGUGGAGGUAGCGGAGGCUAUGGUGGCGGAAGUGGUUUCGGUGGUGGAUAUGGAGGAGGCAAUCGUGGGGGUACCCAAGAUCUUACCCUCGGAAAUGUCGACUUCUCAAAUCUCACACCAUUCAAGAAGAAUUUUUAUGAGGAACACCCCAUUGUUGCGAACCGUUCCCCAUAUGAAGUACAACGUUAUAGGGACGAACAUGAAAUUACUAUCCGUGGAAAUGCCCCUAACCCAAUUCAAGACUUCAGCGAAGCUUAUUUUCCUGACUAUGUAAUGAAGGAAGUACGUCGUCAGGGUUAUAAGGCGCCAACAGCUAUACAGGCACAAGGUUGGCCAAUUGCUAUGAGUGGUUCCAAUUUUGUCGGUAUUGCACAAACUGGAUCCGGCAAAACCCUAGGGUACAUCUUACCAGCGAUCGUACAUAUUAACAACCAGAAACCAUUAGAGCGGGGAGAUGGACCCAUAGCUUUGGUCUUGGCGCCUACACGAGAAUUGGCUCAACAGAUUCAACAAGUUGCCACUGAAUUUGGCUCUGCAUCGUACGUUCGAAACACAUGCGUUUUUGGUGGGGCUCCAAAAGGAGGUCAAAUGCGCGACUUGCAGCGUGGCUGUGAAAUCGUCAUUGCCACCCCAGGUCGUUUAAUUGAUUUUCUUGCAAUGAAUGCCACCAACUUGAAGCGUUGUACAUAUUUGGUAUUGGAUGAGGCUGAUCGUAUGUUAGAUAUGGGUUUUGAGCCCCAAAUACGCAAGAUUCUGUCACAGAUUCGCCCUGAUCGCCAGACACUUAUGUGGUCUGCCACUUGGCCUAAAGAAGUUAAGCAGUUGGCUGAAGAUUUUCUCGGCAACUACAUUCAAAUAAACAUUGGUUCUCUGGAAUUAUCGGCAAAUCACAAUAUCCGCCAAGUCGUUGACGUUUGUGAAGAACAUGACAAGGAAGACAAAUUAAAGUCUUUGCUUUCGGAAAUUUAUGAUACCAGCGAAAACCCAGGCAAGAUCAUAAUCUUUGUGGAGACCAAACGUCGCGUAGACAACUUAGUUCGCUUCAUUCGUAGCUUCGGUGUGCGCUGCGGCGCCAUUCACGGUGACAAGUCACAGUCGGAACGUGAUUACGUCUUACGUGAAUUCCGAUCUGGAAAGUCGAACAUUCUGGUAGCAACUGAUGUCGCUGCGCGUGGUUUGGAGGCCGAUUAUUGUAGUAUGGUGGGGAUAAAAUGAUCAUCUUUUGAAAUGACGCAAUUCACUAGGAUUGCGUUGAUAAGUGAACUCUUGAAUUUUUUCGCAAAAGUAUCCGCCGAAAAGCUCUUUGAACGGAGCAUUUCCAAAAAAGCUGAAUGAAAUGUGCGACUGUGGCGGCAGCACUUUGUCUACACAUUCCGAUGCAAAAGAGGGAUGUCGUCGAACCACCUGCUGCCACACGUUUGCACGCAUCGUCAUUGCACAUUUGAGGAGAGAUAUAAUACGCAACAGCAGAUGGACACGCUUAUAUAACACGUACAACCUGUGCGAAAAAGCGUUUCAGUGCAACUUAGCGUAUACACAAAUACUCCAGACUACAAAAAAAUAAAAGGCGGAAACAUUCGUCACUAAUACGCGAAAUGUAUGUCGCGUCGUCGUGUAAUUUUUUAUUCAUUUUGUGUUUUGUAUAAAAAUUGCCUUACAAGAAAAAAUAAAACAUGGGUUUCCUCCUAAUUCGGCAAUGUGCAUAAAGAGUUCUGCGGUACACAAUAUCCCUAUCAUCAUGCAUCAAAUGUGGCCUCUGCUAUCUUUUAUUCAAAGUGAUAGUAUUUUUCGAAACUAAACAGUACCAAUUUCGAAAAUGGAAAAUAAAUAUAGGAAUUUUCACAGUAUUAAACAAACGCCAAUCGAAAGGGCAGAUUAUGUAAAUUCAAUAAAUUGUUUCGUUAGUACUUUAUGUGAAUUUCCUUGGCUGAUACGUUAUAAGGAAUCGCGUUAAAUCACACGCAGGCAAUUAAGAGAAACUUCAUACAACUAAAUGCAUGUCCAUCCUACAAUCGCUAUAAUUAUCGCAUGUGUUCUUUGGCUGAAUCGUAUCGAAUUUGUAAAAAUUAAUUCCAUUCGCAAGGAACAGGGUCAUUGCGCGUAAUUAAAGGGAAAAGAAAAUAAAAACAUUUACGAUUAAAUUUUAUAAUUAUAUUUAAAGUGAUCCGAUAUCAUUUUUGCUGUCAAUCUUUGAUCCUGUUCAACGCGUAUUCGCGGUAAAAAGAUCGGUUGUUGUAACGUGGCACGGCAUCGAAAAUGUUUUGCCUUACUCAUUCGAUAAAAGGAAAGGUUGUAUCAAACGAGCUGGUGGCGACCUUCUUUUGGACAAUAAACAAAUGUUGAGAAGCUGUUGCUGUUGUUCUAACCCAACCAUGGACAUCACAGAACACCAGUUCAUCAUUUGCUGCACGUCCAGAAAAAAGCGUCGUCGUCGUCUACGGAUUCUUGAACAACACAUUCACAUUCCAUGAAAUCCCGAAAGUUCGUGAAAGGCAAAACGUAGUUUAGAAAGUGCCACAAACACUUCGCAAUACCGCCGACAAAGGACACAUUUGCAACGUGGAUUUGUUUGUAUAAAAUUUGGAGGAUAUGCAUAUAAUAAUAUAAUGGUGAAGUGUGAAAGUAAACACAGUUAUUUGGAGAAAACGACGGACAUUUACUGGCCGUCAUAGUUAAAUGAAGAAAACUACUCUUUGUCAACAUGCCUGCGGUAGUGGUUUUACCUGAACAUUGGGUGAUGGAUGCACGACGUCGGCGAGCGGCGCACAAACUCUACCACCAAAUAGUUGGAUGUGCGCUGAACUCCACUCGAGACGCAUUUAACUCGAAACUCGUGCGGAAUCGAGCUGCAUCGUUCGUCCAUCCUGUGUCCAUUUAAUGUUGAUUGAGAGAAAAAGGGAGACAGAUUAGAGGGAAAAUGCCCUAACUAUAUUUAAAGUUUUACCACAUGCUCUUCCACUCGUUUCGCUGAACGGGACGAGAGAAGAGUGUGAAUAUAAAUCGACUAUUUGAAGAUGUGGACGGUAUCAAAUAUGUGAUUAACUUCGAUUACCCGCAAUCGUCAGAGGAUUAUAUUCAUAGAAUCGGACGUACAGGACGUUCCAACACAAAAGGCACUUCAUAUGCAUUCUUCACCAAAAAUAAUGCCAAACAGUCGAGAGCGCUGGUUGAU